rnacentral:tRNA from 3 species
GCUACUGUAGCUCAGUUGGUGGAGCAGCUGAUUCGUAAUCAGCAGGCCGUCGGUUCGAGUCCGAUCAGUAGCC